rnacentral:rRNA from 1 species
GAUGAACGCUGGCGGCGUGCCUAAUACAUGCAAGUCGAGCGAACAGACCAGGAGCUUGCUCCUCUGACGUUAGCGGCGGACGGGUGAGUAACACGUGGAUAACCUACCUAUAAGACUGGGAUAACUUCGGGAAACCGGAGCUAAUACCGGAUAACAUGUUGAACCGCAUGGUUUAACAGUGAAAGACGCUCUUGCUGUCACUUAUAGAUGGAUACGCGCCUCAUUAGUUAGUUGGUAAGGUAACGGCUUACCAAGGCAACGAUGGGUAGACGACCUGAGAGGGUGGUUGGCUAGACGGGCACAGAGACACGGUCCAGACUCUUGCGGGGGGACGCAGUAGGGAAUCUUCCGCGAUGGGGGAGAGCCUGACGGAGCAACGCCGGGUGAGUGAAGAAGGUGCUCUGACGGGUAAACUCUGUUAGUAGGAGAGAACAAAUGUGUAAGUAACUAUGCACGUAUUGACGGUACCUAGUCAAAAAGCCACGGCUAACUCCGUG